rnacentral:rRNA from 1 species
GACGAACGCUGGCGGCGCGCCUAACACAUGCAAGUCGAACGGAGUUGUGUUGAAAGCUUGCUGGAUAUACAACUUAGUGGCGGACGGGUGAGUAACACGUGAGUAACCUGCCUUUCAGAGUGGAAUAACGUCUGGAAACGGACGCUAAUACCGCAUAACGUGAGAAGAGGGCAUCCUCUUUUCACCAAAGAUUUAUCGCUGAGAGAUGGGCUCGCGGCCGAUUAGGUAGUUGGUGAGAUAACAGCCCACCAAGCCGACGAUCGGUAGCCGGACUGAGAGGUUGAUCGGGCACAUUGGGACUGAGACACGGCCCAGACUCCUACGGGAGGCAGCAGUGGGGGAUAUUGCACAAUGGGGGAAACCCUGAUGCAGCGACGCCGCGUGAGGGAAGACGGUUUUCGGAUUGUAAACCUCUGUCUUUAGGGACGAAAAAAUGACGGUGCCUAAGGAGGAAGCCACGGCUAACUACGUGCCAGCCGCCGCAGUAAAAC